UGUAAUGCAUCAUUUGUAUGGUCCCAAGCUACAAUGUCCUUGUUGACAUCACAACAAUUAAUCAUCGUCUGUAAUAUUUUCAUCAUGUGUUUGAUAAAUCUUUGCAUUCACGGUCCAACAAAUUAAUUAACAUUUUUUAAUAGCAUAAACACAUGAGCAUUGUACAAUCACAUACCAACACACCAGAUUAUGGCUUUGAUCUCCUACAAAUUGGAAUGUCAUAUGGGAUAUGUCGUUGAAGUCGAGGUACAAGAUUGGAUCGGUCGUCCUCAACAACAAGAAUAACAUAGGGAUGGGAUAUCUUUUUGAACCACUGAAGAUGUUCCUCCACACAUGCAAAUGAAGAUGACGCCUAUGUAACAUUCACACACACGUGCUUAAUAAAGCACAACCAACAAUCAUCAAUGGUUGUUAUGUCAUCCUCUCAUACAACGUUUGACGACCACGAGAUUGGCCGCUCAUGUCUAAAUUGCCUUAACAUGGAUUCAGGUAAAUGUCAAUGUACAAUCACACCUACUUUAGUACAACCAUAAAACAUAUUGAUGAUUAGAUGUAGACGAUUAAUCCAUUGUGAUUCAUGAGGUUCGUAUCACCUCAUCAUAUGUCAAGC
rnacentral:lncRNA from 1 species